rnacentral:rRNA from 1 species
GAGGAAUAUUGGUCAAUGGACGGAAGUCUGAACCAGCCAAGUAGCGUGCAGGAUGACGGCCCUAUGGGUUGUAAACUGCUUUUGUAUGGGGAUAAAGUUAGGGACGUGUCCCUAUUUGCAGGUACCAUACGAAUAAGGACCGGCUAAUUCCGUGCCAGCAGCCGCGGUAAUACGGAAGGUCCGGGCGUUAUCCGGAUUUAUUGGGUUUAAAGGGAGCGUAGGCUGGAGAUUAAGUGUGUUGUGAAAUGUAGACGCUCAACGUCUGACUUGCAGCGCAUACUGGUUUCCUUGAGUACGCACAACGUUGGCGGAAUUCGUCGUGUAGCGGUGAAAUGCUUAGAUAUGACGAAGAACUCCGAUUGCGAAGGCAGCUGACGGGAGCGCAACUGACGCUGAAGCUCGAAGGUGCGGGUAUCGAACAGGAUUAGAUACCCUGGUAGUCCGCACAGUAAACGAUGGAUGCCCGCUGUUGGUACCUGGUAUCAGCGGCUAAGCGAAAGCAUUAAGCAUCCCACCUGGGGAGUACGCCGGCAACGGUG